rnacentral:rRNA from 1 species
UAUCACUAAGCGGAGGAAAAGAAACUAACAAGGAUUCCCUCAGUAACGGCGAGUGAAGCGGGAAGAGCCCAGCACCGAAUCCCUCAGCCUUGCGCUGCCGGGACCUGUGGUGUUAGGGACGCCGACUGUCGUCGGGUUCACACGCGCCCAAGUCUUCCUGAUCGUGGCCACUCCCCACGGUGGGUGUCAGGCCUUUACACUGGCGCGGGACUCGGCGGCUACGAGCGUCCCACGAGUCGGGUUGUUUGAGAAUGCAGCCCUAAGUGGGUGGUAAACUCC